UGAGGUGUGGCUCAGUGGCAGAGUGCUCGCAUGGCACCUGUGAGGUACUGGGUUCCAUCCUCAGCACCACAU
rnacentral:tRNA from 1 species